rnacentral:rRNA from 1 species
AGCGGCGGACGGGUGAGUAACGCGUAGGAAUCUACCCAGUAGUGGGGGACAACUUGGGGAAACUCAAGCUAAUACCGCAUACGCCCUACGGGGGAAAGCGGGGGCUCUUCGGACCUCGCGCUAUUGGAUGAGCCUGCGUCGGAUUAGCUAGUUGGUGGGGUAAAAGCUCACCAAGGCGACGAUCCGUAGCUGGUCUGAGAGGAUGAUCAGCCACACUGGAACUGAGACACGGUCCAGACUCCUACGGGAGGCAGCAGUGGGGAAUAUUGCGCAAUGGGGGCAACCCUGACGCAGCCAUGCCGCGUGUGUGAAGAAGGCCUUAGGGUUGUAAAGCACUUUCAAUUGGGAAGAAAAGCUGAUGCUUAAUACGUAUCAGCCCUGACAUUACCUUUAGAAGAAGCACCGGCUAACUCCGUGCCAGCAGCCGCGGUAAUACGGAGGGUGCGAGCGU